CACGUAGGGCGCGAGCGUGUCCGGAAUUAUUGGGCGUAAAGAGCUCGUAGGCGGCCUGUUGCGUCCGCUGUGAAAGCCCGGGGCUUAACCCCGGGUCGGCAGUGGAUACGGGCAGGCUAGAGGUAGGUAGGGGAGAAUGGAAUUCCCGGUGUAGCGGUGAAAUGCGCAGAUAUCGGGAGGAACACCGGUGGCGAAGGCGGCUUACUGGUCCGGAACUGACGCUGAGAUGCGAAAGCGUGGGGAGCAAACAGG
rnacentral:rRNA from 1 species